AUUCAUAUUAUAUAUAUAUGAUGCUUCCAAAGUUUUGAAUGCUUUGCUUGCUUGCUGAUUACUGCUGUAACAUCUUGCCAUCUUCUCUAUGAUGUAUGUAGCUGCUGCCCGUGCACUGGAAGGGGAUCAGAGGACAACACACAAAGAGGAAGUGGCAAGAUAUUGGGCAGAGAACAAGGUUAUAAACUUAUAGGUAUACCUCCAUUUACAUUCUAGCAUUUUUUUGCUGCCAAACUGUAUAGCCUAUAUGGUAUAUGUUUUUUCCUGGGACCAAAUAAUUAUUUUCGGAUCUUAAAUUAGUACAAAGAAGUGAAGUUUGGGUGAUGAGUUUGAUGUUGACUGAUUCAUGUGGUAUUUUUUUUUUGUAAUAUCAGUUAUAAGUGAUUGUCUCUUGAUAAAUACUCCCUCUAUCCCAAAAUAACUAUCUCAACUUUGUACUAGCUCUAGUACAAAGUUAUACUAAGCUUAAGACAUUUAUUUUGGGACGGAGGGAGUAUGUUGUAACAAAUAAUUUUGGUACACAUUGUAAAUGAUGAGAAGUCUUUUCCAAUACAAUGCCUCAUCAUAGGGGAUAUCUCUAAAAGUAUCAUUCAUUAUAUUAUUUUUAGUCCUAUACUUUAUCUAUCUUUUUUUUCAUCUUCCAUAGUUUUUUUUUGUAAAUAUCCUACAAGAUAACUACCGGGUAUAAUAAAAAUAAAUCACCAGAAUAAUUAUCUUCUUGGCUUCUAUGAAGCUAACUCCGGAAAGAACAAUCUCUGCGCAAACACCAAGACAAAUUAAAGUUUAUCAAUUGGCACCGCCUACACAGAAAUUCUCGUUCUUUGUAUUCCACUCCCAGUAAAUAUGAUAUCAGAUAGCUUAUUAUUUAGAGAGAAAUGUAACAUAUAAUUCUUUUCAUAGCCUGGUUUAUGAUUCACGAUCAGUAUGACUCAUGUGCAAUAUUACUUUUUGUCUCUUUUAUCCAGCGAAAUAGAGAAAAUAAAUUAAAUUUUGUACGAAUAUCCCAUCAAACAGCAAAAGAAGUUUCCAGGGAGGUGAUUUCCUGUCCCUUUUUCUGCUGUAUUUUCUCCCACAGUAUGAUACACUUUCCACUUUUCUAGUUUUUGAUAAUACCCAAAUCUUGACAGGAAAUGGAUCCAGCAGCCUGUCCAACUCCAGCUACAAGAGCCAUAUAUUGAAAAAGGCAAGAUGGAGGUUGAUAGGUAACUAAUACUCUUGGAAUGAUGACCAUAAAAUAAGUGAACGCUUCUCAAAGUAUCGUUUAAUUUAAUACGCUAUUUCUGUUACAGCCGGGCAAAAACGCAAGCUGCUAUCCAAGUUAAAUGGAGAGAACAGUGUGUUUCCAAAUCAUGUCGUUCUGUGAACAUUACAGUGCUAUAUACUUGUUUUUGCAUAUUGUUAAACAAUGCAAGUUCUACACAAUAGGAAUUGCUUGCACUUGUGUAGUUACAAUAAUUAGAGAGUUGCAUGGUCUGACAAUGUAUAUGUGAUGGUUCGUUGCUCAUGUUUUUGCUGCUUGUACUGCAGGAGAACCUAGAAGGCUUGCACGUGACCAAUACAAAAUGACCUCUCCAGUAGUUCAAAACCAAGUAAGGAGGUAAUUUCAGAUUCAGUUUUAUGAGAAGUAACUAGUGAGCAUGAAAGAAAAUAGUAUAGCAAUAUUCUGCAUACUUAUUCAUCAACAUACAAUAGUUUCACAUAUGUUGAUGUGUAGUCUUACAUUGAAUGUAGCUGUGGUACUUGAAAAAUAACUUUAACCGUUUGAGAAAAUUAACUCUAUGACUUCUUAGUAUUCCUCACCCUUUUUCGACACUACUUUAUCAACAUAUGGCAACUCUCAUGUAAUAUGCAUACUCUCGUGGAUAUGAACGCAUGCGUUUGUAAGAAGUUCAAUGCUGGUCCGAUGCUUUAUUUUCUACAAAGUUGGGCUAUAUGUUCAUGGAUGCUUCAUGAUAACGAUGCAUGCAAUAAGGUUUCGUAAACUUCAUUUAAAUAAUCAGUAUGUUUUGGGUGUCUGACCUAUACAUAUAACAACACUAUCAAUCUAGUUUUUUGUACACCUUCUGUUUUUUUGGUUCUUUGCACUCAAUAGUAACUUAUAAGUAUGAACAAAUGCUAUUAUGAUAAUAUUGCUCAAACAUAUGAGUGCUUUUGCAGGGUCACAUAGUGGAAAUUAUGAAGUCGAACAUAUUAUAGCUUUUGUUAGUGGAAUGCAUGGUCAACCUGUUUUAUACAAAUGGAAGUUGAUGUCAGUUUGGUGAUCGAAGACUUGGUCUAUUCCAUAGUGUUUUGUAGGGUGAACGAACACCUAGUAUCUUAUGAACUUGGCCCAUAUUUUGUAACAUGCCACGACUUGUAUGUUGAUGUAUGUAUUUCUUUAAUGGUUGUUGCAAAAUCGGGAGAGAGAACCUAAUGGAUUUUUUAUGUGUUGAAUAAAUGCAUUGAUCAAUGGCAUCUUGUGGUGAAUACAAGAGGCCAAUUGUUGGUAUAUGUACUACAAAGUGAACAUAAACUGAAUAUUUUGAGUUUACUUUCAUGUUAAUAUAUGGUGCAUUUGGGUUUGUUCUGAAAUGUAUAACGCAGGCAGCAAAUGUGUCAGCACAAGUAUUGGAGGUUGCAAAGACUGUCGACAUAGCAUACUGACAUACAAACUUUUGGGGUAGCAAUGGUAGUUGCACUAUCUGUCGGGGUAGCACACUGUCAAGCCGUCUAUCGGGAUAACAUCGUUUGUUGCUGUAGAAAUGUCUGUCGGCAUAGAUC
rnacentral:lncRNA from 1 species